rnacentral:rRNA from 1 species
GGAGGGGGCAAACGUUUGUUCGGAGUUACUGGGCGUAAAGCGUGCGUAGGCGGUUUGGUAAGUCUUGUGUGAAAUCUCCCCGCUCAACGGGGAACCCGCAUGGGAUACUGCUGAACUUGAGGGUGAGAGAGGCAGGUGGAAUUUCCGGUGUAGCGGUGGAAUGCGUAGAUAUCGGAAAGAACACUCGUGGCGAAGGCGGCCUGCUGGCUCAUCCCUGACGCUGAGGCACGAAAGCCAGGGGAGCGAACGGGAUUAGAUACCCCGGUAGUCCUGGCCGUAAACGGUGAACACUAGAUGUCGGGGGUAUCGACCCCCCCCUCGGUGUCGGAGCUAACGCAUUAAGUGUUCCGCCUGGGGAGUACGACCGCAAGGUUG